UGCAAAAGUCGAGCAACUGUCAUUUCGAUACCCACUUGGCAUAUAAGUUCAUUUUUGACACUGCUUUCUGCUGCUAAUCGUAACUACGGAGACGCCAAUCUCUCAAACAAACCUUUCCAAACUCAUCUCUAUGGUACAUCGUAUGUCUAUGUAUGUUCGUUUAUGAUUCUGUUACGGGUGAUUAUGAGUUAGUUGGGAUUUUGGUUUAAUUAUGCGAGAUAAUCAUGUUGGAUUCUUCGCGUAUGACAUUAUCAAGAAAGAGACCAAGAUGUUACGCUUUAUGCGGUUUGAACGGUUUUGCGAUCACCCAAGGGAGAAAUAAUACAGUGUUGUUUCGCCUCAAUGAACCAAAAUCCUUUGUUCAGUUGAAGUAAUUAUGAAGUGAAAUAGCUAGAUUAAGUUUUGAUUUUAGUUAUGUUAUCGAUAUGAGUAGUGUUACAUGCACAAAUUUGGGAACAUAAUUUUGCACAAAAUGACAUGGCAUUGAUUGAUUAUUUUGAACAUAAUUCAAAUGUGUAGCAUUUGAAUUAUUUCCAAGUAGCAACUUCUAAUUUUGAGACAGGCUGCCCUGCUGUAUUAUUCUGUAUUGUCAUCCUUCUUAUUCCCUGGUCUACGUGUUUACUUUGCUAUAUGACUUGUUUUGAUGACAUUGUUAAUAUACUCUUGUCACAUUUGCUUCGUUUAGUUUGAUUCCCUUGGCCUCUGUAUCUUUCGAUUGAUUUUUCUUUGUAGGUUGUAGCUUGCACUUACUGAUUUCUUCUUUAUGAGCAUCUCCAAUUGAAGUGCUACAUCAUCCUACGUAAAUGCUGAAUCCGUUAGGUUUGGUGAAAUCAGCCUUAUUGGAGGUGACAAUCCCCAAUGCAAAGAGUUUCGAGGUUUUCUGGAAAGAAAUCAACAUCUGUGCCCCCAAUGUCUGGAAAUUUUUCUCCAUCGUACCCAUAUACUGAUCCUGUGGUCGUUUUCAAGGGCGUGAAAUUCUGUACAAGGGGACAGCCAAACAGACGAAAGAUAUAUAGUUUGGGCAUAUUGAAAGCAUGUCUUGAAGAGGGACU